CAAGAUAAUAAUCCUUCGUUGGAAUGGGUGGUCUCGGAAAAAAGAAUGCAUUUGCUUUGACUUAUCAUUCAUUUCAUUGGAUAUGGAUUUGGCAGGUCUAGCACAUUCGUUCCAUGCCCUGCAGCCUGCAAAAGUUCAUGAAUUCAGGAAAUGCAUCCUUAAAAGUCAAGAGUAGAUGGACAAGAGUGUGAUCAUUCUUAUAUCUUGAAAGAUGAUAUUGGUUAUGUCUGCCGAGUUUGUGGAUUAAUCCAAACGCCUAUUGAUUCCAUAAUUGAGUUCCAUCGUCCCAAGAUUAGCAAGGCAUACUUAUAACGGUCAAGAGUACUGCUUCUCCUGAAGACUCGGACUAUAUGGUUGAGAAGAGAAUGUUGAAGCCGCAAAGAAAGGGUCUCCAACGUUCAAAGGGGAAUAUUCGAAGCAUCCCCCAUUUUUAGGAUAGGUUGUUAUUUCUUUUGCUAUAUAAAGGAAUGAUCGGAUAGUAGGAAGACACAACUUUUUACGCACACUUUUGCUUUCUACUAGCUGCAAUCACUCUCAAUCACUAACACUUACACUCGAAUCACAUUGUAACAUUUAGUUGAUCCGCAUCAUAUCCUGCACUGUAUCCUGAUAUUUGAAGUAAUAAGAAGAACA